rnacentral:rRNA from 1 species
UACGUAGGGGGCAAGCGUUGUCCGGAAUCAUUGGGCGUAAAGCGCGUGUAGGCUGUUCGGAAAGUCGGGUGUGAAAGCCCUGGGCUCAACCUAGGAAGUGCACUCGAAACUCCCGAACUGGAGUCCCGGAGAGGAAGGUGGAAUUCUCGGUGUAGAGGUGAAAUUCGUAGAUAUCGAGAGGAACAUCGGUGGCGAAGGCGGCCUUCUGGACGGUGACUGACGCUGAGACGCGAAAGCGUGGGGAGCAAACAGG